UCAUGUUGUGAGCACUACACAGGGGGGUCCACGCCUUAUUCAUCCCCACGAAGCCAUUGGCACAGGACCUGGGACAUGUUAGGAACUCAGGAUAUGUUCUUCUUUCUCUCCAUCAUCACCAUAUUCCUCUGUUUUCACUUUAACUCUUCCCAGGGCAGCUGAUAUUUGGGAUUUCAUCAGGGUCAGGAUGGGUCAGAAGGGCCAGCCAUGGGGCUGGGUUUCCUGUCCAAAACACACACAUGAAUGGAGACCGUGGCAGGAGCCUCUGGCAAACUGUCCAUGCAGACACAGAAAAUCCAUAUGCAGGAGAAGCUGUGAAAAAAAAUUUUUUUUUUUUAAAAAAGGUCCUUUUACCUGGAUGGAUACUUAAAGCAAGAGAGUCUGUGGCAGCUUGCGAGAACUACACGGCCUGGUGCCAGGCUAACAGAGUGAUGCCGGAUGAAGAGGAUGACACAGGCCUGCUUUCAAGGAACUUACGAGCUGGACUGAGGAGUCCGUGUUCCGUUUACAAACCGUGCAAAGGCUGCCUUUGACAACUUAGAAGAACACAAGCCCCACGCCUACCAUCGCGUGUGAAGCCCUACUUCAAGAAUAGCCCGCUUUAUCCCAGACGAUGGAUCUUUCUCACUCACACGGUUCAACCUGGCGCUCACGCUGCGUGUGCUCUACCCUCAGUCACGUGGAAAGCUUAGUCUGCACCAAGCUCCUUCCUGUGUCCUUGUGAGGCCUCUUUCCCUUGUACUGGGCACCUGUCCGCGCUUCUGCUGGUCCCCUACGGGUUUCUCAGGUCCCGGGCCCAAGUAGCAUCUUUUCAAGAGGACCUGCUCUGUCCAGUUGCCAAUUUUUAUCAUGUUCUCUUGUAGUAUUCUUUCUCUUACCACCCUUCUCUGUAUGCCUUUUGAUUAUUGUUUGUUUGUUUAGUGUUUGGCCCUCCCCAUGCAAUUUUAGCCAUAAAAUUGAAUGUGUAGUGGAAGCCCCCCAAGGCUGUCCUCUUCGGAUGCACCACCCCCGCGAAAGAGAGAGCUUGGGCUUACUCACAGUGGUCUUUACUUACUGCAAAUGUUAGGGUUCCAAAGUAAUUUUUAAACCUAUCAUCCAUGCUGGAAAGUACUUUAAAGAGCAGCAACUGGAUGCAUGUCCCCUCCAGUUCAUUGCUGGAGAAAAUCAUUGCUCAGCCGGUCAGAUUGCUACAAGACUACGGCAGAAGGAUUCCAAAUCAUCCGUUUCUACCUCCAAAUACACAGCAUUUUCUUUUUUUUUUCUCGACUGGUAUUGUCCCUGGGAACUUCUUACUCAGCUCCCAUUUUUAUAAUUAAUUUCUUUUCACUGUAUAUAAUGGAAAGAGAAUGCUAAAAUAAGAAUGAAGCAACAUAAAUCCCCUUCACCGUACCUUAUUCCUAAAUCAAGAUGCAGGCAGAUUUCAGCAGAGGAAAUGAGCUUGUACCACACCAUAGCCACACAGACUUUGGGGAAAAAGAGAAGGAGAUGGGAGUCAAUAAAUAGAGAAAAUUUACCAUUGUUGUGGCAGAGCUUCCAAAAGUCCUUCCACAUAGAUGAUCUCACCUACUUUUUCUAAUCAAUAGGCUAGAGAAAGAUGAAAACUGUGGGACACAGGCAGGAACAUAAAGACUUAUUUGCGAAGCCUGAUACCAGCAC